rnacentral:antisense_RNA from 1 species
CUUGAUGCCACCCAGCAGCAGCGGCACAGCCCGGUCCUGCCCAUAGGUCGCCAUCAGCGCCUGAGCCUC